rnacentral:rRNA from 1 species
UUAUAAAAGUCAUUAAAGCAUUAAGAGAAUACCUAAACAUCAAAAUUUAAAGGACGUUAUUUAACGAAAUUUUAUAACGAGUGUUAUUACAGCAUUGAGAGUUAUAAAAAUCCAUUUAGAAAACUAAUCUAGUUUAAAUUAGAUAUUAUAAUGUAAAAAUUAUAAUCUUAAAGUUAGUGAACUGAAUCAUCUCAGUAACUAAAUAAAAAAUCAAUCGAGAUAUCGUUAGUAGUGGCGAACGAAAACGGUAGUUAGACUUUUAUCCAUUAAAUCAUAAAUAAUAUUUAAUAUUUUAUUAGCCAAAGAAGGUUUCAUAUAUUGAUUUGCCCUGUAAAAUAUUAUUUUUUUAAUUUUUUUAAAGUAAAAUAAUACAAGUCAUGUAUUGUAAGAAUAUUGGGGGCCCACUCUCAAAGUCUAAAAUAAGUUUUGAUGAUUGAUAGUGAACAAGUACUGUGAAGGAAAGGUGAAAUAGAAUUUAUGAAUUUGAAAAGAACUUGAAACUUAAUGCUAACAAUCUGUUGAAGCUUAAUAAAAAGAGUGACAGCGUACCUUUUGUAUAAUGGAUCAACGAGUUUAUUUUAGUGGCAAGCUUAAAUUAUUGAAAAUGUAGGCGUAAAGAAAUUAAGUUUUAAACUGCGUUAUUAGUCUCUAAAAUAAGACCCGAAACCAAGUGAUCUAAUCAUGAACAGGUUGCAUUUAAAGCGGUAACGCUUAAAGAAGGACCGAACCCGUGUCUGUAGAAAAAUACUGGGAUGAUUUGUGAUUAGGGGUGAAAGGCCAAUCAAACUUGGAGAUAGCUGGUUUUCUGCGAAAUCUAUUUAAGUAGAGCGUUUUAAAAUCUUUAUUUUGGGGUAGAGCACUUGAUAAAUGAUGGGGACGUAAAGUUUUACUGAUUUUAAUAAAACUUCGAAUACGAAAUAAAAGAAUUAAGAUAGUCAGACUAAAGGUGCUAAGAUCUUUAGUCAAAAGGGAAACAGCCCAGAUUAUUUGUUAAGGUCCUUAAAAAUAAUUAAGUGAAAAAGAAAUUAAAAAAAAUAUGACGACUAGAAGGUAGGUUUGGAAGCAGCCAUCCUUUAAAGAAAGCGUAACAGCUCACUGGUUUAUUUUUUUUAUGUCGAAAAUGUAUAUGGGCUAAAAUUAUUUACCGAAACAAUAAAUUUAAAUUUGAAAUUUAAAUGGUAGCAGAACGUUCUGUAAUUUUAAGAAGAUUUAUAUUAAUAUAAAUUGGAAAUAUCAGAAGUGAGAAUGUUGAUAUGAGUAACGAUAAACAGUGUGAAAAACAUUGUCGCUUUAAGUUCAAGGUUUUUAAGAAAAAGAUAAUCUUUCUUAGAAAAUAUUUAUACGGUCCCUAAGAAAAAAACGAAAGUUUUAUUUUAAUGGGUAAUUUAUUAUUAAAGUGACGGAGUAUGCAUAUUAUUUAUAUUUUAAGGUAAAAAUAUAAGUUAUUUAAUAUUUCCAGGAAAUAGCUUUAAAAAAAAAUCAAACCGUACCGAAAACCGACUCAGGUGAACAAAUUUAGUAAAUUAAAGCGUUUGAACGAAUUGUAUUGAAGGAACUCGGCAAAAUGACUCCGUAACUUCGGAAUAAGGAGUAGUUUUUAAAGAGCAAUCUUUAAAAACUGUCACAAAAUUGAGGACAGCGACUGCUUAACAAAAGCACAGGUCUCUGCUAAUUCGCAAGAAGAUGUAUAGAGACUGACGCCUGCCCGGUGCUGCAAGGCUAAAAUAAGAAAUUUUGGUUUCAAAUUUAAAUCCCAGUAAACGGCGGCUGUAACUCUGACGGUCCUAAGGUAGCGAAAUUCCUUGGCAUUUAAUUGGUGUCCUGCAUGAAUGGCGUAACGACUGUCCUACUGUCUCCAGUACAACUUCAGUGAAAUUGAAUUCUCUGUGAAGAUGCAGAGUACUUACGGCUAGACGGAAAGACCCCGUGCACCUUUACUAUAGUUAUAUAUUGUAAUAAUGAAUUUUAUGUGCAGAAUAAAUGGGAUGUUUUUAAAAAAGACUUUUAUGAAAGUAAACUGUUUAAACACAAGUGAGAUACCAUUCUUAGAAUUUUUUAUUACUUAUUUUUUUUUUAAAAAAAAACAUUAUAUAAUGGGUAGUUUGACUGGGGCGGUCGCCUUCUAAAGAGUAACGAAGGCGCAUUAAGGUAAGUUUAAAUUAUUUUAAAAUAAUUUUAAAGCGUAAUAGUAUAUGCUUGCUUGACUGUAAGAUUUACAAAUCGAACAGGGACGAAAGUCGAUUAUAGUGAUCCGGUGAUUCUGUGUGGAAAAGGUCACCGCUCAUCGAAUAAAAGGUACGCCGGGGAUAACAGGCUAAUCAUUCUCUAGAGACCCUAUCGACGGAAUGGUUUGGCACCUCGAUGUUGGAUUAUCGCAUCCUGGAAUUGAAGAUGAUUCCAAGGGUUUGGCUGUUCGCCAAGUAAAGCGGUACAUGAUCUGAGUUCAGAACGUCGUGAGACAGUUUGGUCCCUAUCUACCGUAAGCGUUAGAAAAUUGAAAGGAUUAAACUCUAGUACGAGAGGACCGAGAAAAGUAAAUCUAUGGUGAAUCGAUUGUUAUACCAAUAGCAAAGUCGAGUAGCUACAUUUAUAAUAGAUAAUUGCUGAAAGCAUUUAAGCGAGAAACUAACCUUAAGAUAAGUUUUCAAAAUUGU